rnacentral:rRNA from 1 species
GGGUUCGAACGAGCCCAACCUCCCACCCGUGUUUACUGUUACCGCGUUGCCUCGGCGGGCCCACUGGGGCCUGGCCCCGGUCGCCGGGGGGCUUCUGCCCCCGGGCCCGCGCCCGCCGAAGCACCCUAGAACCCUGCCUGAACAGUGAGUCUGAGUGAGAUUUUAAAUCAUUAAAACUUUCAACAACGGAUCUCUUGGUUCCGGCAUCGAUGAAGAACGCAGCGAAAUGCGAUAAGUAAUGUGAAUUGCAGAAUUCCGUGAAUCAUCGAAUCUUUGAACGCACAUUGCGCCCCCUGGCAUUCCGGGGGGCAUGCCUGUCCGAGCGUCAUUUCUGCCCUCCAGCACGGCUGGGUGUUGGGCGCUGUCCCCCCGGGGACACGCCCCAAAAGCAGUGGCGGCGCCGCGUCGGGUCCUCGAGCGUAUGGGGCUCUGUCACCCGCUCGGGAGGGACUCGGUCGGCGCCGGUCUUCCCUUUAGGCCGCCCUUCGGGGUGCGCCUCUUCCGGUUGACCUCGGAUCAGGUAGGGCUACCCGCUGAACUUAAGCAUAUCAAUA